AAAAUCGGCUGUUGACAAAGUUCUGGGUUGGAAGUUAGUUCAGGGUUGGUCAAGAAACCUCCUAUCUACACCGGCGGUAUCAGUUCUUCGGUUUCAAACUCUGUUCUGGAUCUGAAUGAUAGGGAGAGGCUGUUCGGGGCAUUUUCAUUGGCCAAGCAGCUGCCAUUGUUGGCGAAUCUGCAGAUUGGAAAGGGAGCAGGCCAAUUCCAAGAUGGUGGCGAAUGGCGCGUGCUCCGUCGACGAGAUUAUUGUUGCGUCGUACGACAGCCCUCUGUCGACGUACGAUGUUCUGGAGGAAUAGAACUUUCCGAUCGACCUCCCACUGCAGGGGAUCGUGGGGUACAAGCUGGAUCGGAGCACGAGGAAGGUCACGACGCACCUCAACGACACGUUCAGCUUCUCCCUGGAGAACGACUACAAGCUCAAGUAGUCGGUGCUAGAGCACGAGGGAGACGAGUCGCGCACGUCGUAGGAGUCAAAAUAGAAAAUAUUAGAGAGAUUGGUACCGAAGCGUGGUCGCAACGGCGAUGGCGGGGAUCUGGUGGUCGGCGAUGGCGGAGAGGCUAGGUCGCCAAAGCGUCUGAAUGGUUAGGACAGUUGUUUGGGAUCGUGGUGUCGUCGAAGCAGAUCGUGUCUACGUCGGUCGUUGCAAAGAUCGAGAGCAGGGAUCGGGAUCGGGAUCGGGAUCGGCUGCUGUCGUUGCUGUGAUCGUAACCCGAAUCUAGAAAGCCUUGGCCAACGAGGUGACAAACAAGAAAAAAAAAAAGAUAGAUAAUUGGAGCCGAGGUAAUACCAUGUCAGAAAAUGGAAAAAUUCUGUACAUUUCUUCAUAUUUUUUCUUACAGGAUGAAUGAAUAUAUAUUACAGACA